CGAGAGGUUACUGAACCUUAUCAAACUAAGAAUGCCGGAUAAUCGUUUUUCAGGAGUCAGACAGUGGGAGAUAAGUUUCAUUGUCCAAAGGGAAACAGCCCAGACCCACAGCUAAGGUCCCCAAGUAUAGUUAAGUGGAAAAGGAUGUGGAAUUGCACAGACAACCAGGAUGUUGGCUUAGAAGCAGCCACUCAUUAAAAGAGUGCGUAAUAGCUCACUGGUCGAGUGACUCUGCGCCGAAAAUUUAACGGGGCUAAACUAUACACCGAAGCUUGGGAUACAUCUAAUGUAUGGUAGGAGAGCGUUCUGUAUGGGGAGAAGUCGUAGCGAAAGCGGCGGUGGACUAUACAGAAGUGAGAAUGCCGGAAUAAGUAGCGAGAAUUAAGUGAGAAUCUUAAUGGCCGAAAGUCUAAGGUUUUUGGAGGAAGGUUCGUCCGCUCCAAGUAAGUCGGGAGCUAAGGUCAGGCCGAAAGGCGUAGCCGAUGCACAUACGGUUGAUAUUCCGUAACCAUCUGUAAUUUAAGCAAAGGGACACUUCAAAAGGGUGUGACCCGGGCGUUGGUUGACCCGGGCGUAAGGGACCGAAAUUAGAGUAGGGAAGCACACUUGGCUGAAGGCGAGAAAAGCUUUGCGUAUAGAAACAGAUGCCCGUACCGCAAACCGACACAGGUGGACAGGAAGAGAAUUCUAAGGCCAGCGGGAGAAGGGUAGUUAAGGAACUCGGCAAAUUGACUCCGUAACUUCGGAAUAAGGAGUGCUCGAAAGAGCCGCAGAGAAUAGGCCCAGGCGACUGUUUAGCAAAAACACAGGUCUCUGCCAAAUCGAAAGAUGAAGUAUAGGGGCUGACACCUGCCCGGUGCCGGAAGGUUAAGAGGAGGAGUGAGAGCUCCGAAUUGAAGCCCCGGUAAACGGCGGCCGUAACUAUAACGGUCCUAAGGUAGCGAAAUUCCUUGUCGGGUAAGUUCCGACCCGCACGAAUGGUGUAACGAUCUGGGCACUGUCUCAACUACCCACCCGGCGAAAUUGUAGUACCGGUGAAGAUGCCGGUUACCUGCGGCAAGACGGAAAGACCCCAUGGAGCUUUACUGUAGCCUGAUAUUGGGUUUCGGAAAUCUAUGUACAGGAUAGGCGGGAGACUUGGAAACAUGAGCGUCAGCUUGUGUGGAGUCGAUGUUGGGAUACCGCCCUUAGGUUUCUGGAAUUCUAACCUGCGGCCGUGAAACCGGUCGGGGGACAUUGUCAGGUGGGCAGUUUGACUGGGGCGGUCGCCUCCGAAAAGGUAACGGAGGCGCUCAAAGGUUAGCUCAGCACGGACGGAAACCGUGCCUCUGAGUGUAAACGCAAAAGCUAGCCUAACUGCGAGGGUGACGGCCCGAGCAGUAACGAAAGUUGGAGUUAGUGAUCCGGCGGUAUGAG
rnacentral:rRNA from 1 species